AUGGACCCGCGGCGCAUUAGCUAGUUGGUGAGGUAACGGCUCACCAAGGCAACGAUGCGUAGCCAACCUGAGAGGGUGAUCGGCCACACUGAGACUGAGACACGACCCAUACUCCUACGGGAGGCAGCAAAAAGGAAUCUUCCGCAAUGGACGAAAGUCUGACGGAGCAACGCCGCGUGAGUGAUGAAGGUUUUCGGAUCGUAAAGCUCUGUUGUUAGGGAAGAACAAGUACCGUUCGAAUAGGGCGGUACCUUGACGGUACCUAACCAGAAAGCCACGGCUAACUAUGUGCCAGCAGCCGCGGUAAUACCUAGGUGGCAAGCGUUGUCCGGAAUUAUUGGGCGUAAAGGGCUCGCAUGCGGUUUCUUAAGUCUGAUGUGAAAGCCCCCGGCUCAACCGGGGAGGGUCAUUGGAAACUGGGGAACUUGAGUGCAGAAGAGGAGAGUGGAAUUCCACGUGUAGCGGUGAAAUGCGUAGAGAUGUGGAGGAACACCAGUGGCGAAGGCGACUCUCUGGUCUGUAACUGACGCUGAGGAGCGAAAGCGUGGGGAGCGAACAGGAUUAGAUACCCUGGUAGUUCACGCCGUAAACGAUGAGUGCUUAGUGUUAGGGGGUUUCCGCCCCUUAGUGCUGCAGCUAACGCAUUAAGCACUCCGCCUGGGGAGUACGGUCGCAAGACUGAAACUCAAAGGAAUUGACGGGGGCGCGCACAAGCGGUGGAGCAUGUGGUUUAAUUCGAAGCAACGCGAAGAACCUUACCAGGUCUUGACAUCCUCUGACAAUCCUAGAGAUAGGACGUCCCCUUCGGGGGCAGAGUGACAGGUGGUGCAUGGUUGUCGUCAGCUCGUGUCGUGAGAUGUUGGGUUAAGUCCCGCAACGAGCGCAACCCUUGAUCUUAGUUGCCAGCAUUCAGUUGGGCACUUUAAGGUGACUGCCGGUGACAAAGCGGAGGAAGGUGGGGAUGACGUCAAAUCAUCAUGCCCCUUAUGACGUGGGCUACACACGUGCUACAAUGGACAGAACAAAGGGCAGCGA
rnacentral:rRNA from 1 species